GUGGGAGGUAGAGCAGCAGGGUAUUGCCUCAGUAACGGCGAGUGAAGCGGCAAAAGCUCAAAUUUUAAAGCUGACAUCUUCGGUGUCCGCGUUGUAAUUUUGUGAGGCAUCUCCGGGUAGGGCGCCGGCCUAAGUUCCUUGGAACAGGACGUCACAGAGGGUGAGAAUCCCGUGCUUGGCUGGCUGUCCCCGUCCAUGUGAGGUGUCUUCGACGAGUCGAGUUGUUUGGGAAUGCAGCUCAAAAUGGGUGGUAAAUUUCAUCUAAAGCUAAAUAUUGGUGGGAGACCGAUAGCGCACAAGUAGAGUGAUCGAAAGAUGAAAAGCACUUUGAAAAUAGAGUUAAAAAGUACGUGAAAUUGUUGAAAGGGAAGCGCUUGAGAUCAGACUUCGGUAAGGGGUGAUCAGCCGUCCUUCUGGGCGGUGCACUUGCCCCCCUCCGGGCCAGCAUCGGUUGAGGCGGCGGGAUAAAGGUCCCGGGAAUGUGGCUCCUUCACGGGAGUGUUAUAGCCCGGGUGAAUGCCGCCAGCUUCGACCGAGGACCGCACCCGCAAGGGUUAGGAUGCUUGGCAUAAUGGUCUUCAGCGACCCGUCUUGAAACACGGACCAAGGAGUCUAACAUCUAUGCGAGUGUUUGGGUGUCAAACCCUUGCGCGAAAUGAAAGUGAACGGAGGUGGGAACCCGCAAGGGUGCACCAUCGACCGGUCCCGAAGUCUUCUGAAGGAUCUGAGUAGGAGCAUAGCUGUUGGGACCCGAAAGAUGGUGAACUAUGCCUGAAUAGGGUGAAGCCAGAGGAAACUCUGGUGGAGGCUCGCAGCGGUUCUGACGUGCAAAUCGAUCGUCAAAUUUGGGUAUAGGGGCGAAAGACUAAUCGAACCAUGCUAAGUGUGUU
rnacentral:rRNA from 1 species